rnacentral:rRNA from 1 species
ACUCCUACGGGAGGCAGCAGUGGGGAAUUUUGCACAAUGGAGGAAACUCUGAUGCAGCGAUGCCGCGUGAGUGAAGAAGGCCUUUGGGUUGUAAAGCUCUUUUGUAGGGGAAGAUAAUGACUGUACCCUAAGAAUAAGGUCCGGCUAACUUCGUGCCAGCAGCCGCGGUAAUAC